UGCUUAAGGAUAGCUCAGUUGGUAGAGCAUGAGACUCUUAAUCUCAGGGUUGUGGGUUCGAGCCCCACGUUGGGCAA